CCUCAGCUAAUCCACCCACCUCAGCCUCCCAAACUGCUAGUUAGGGCCUGCACGGGCUACAUCAGUAGGAAGAUUGAUUAAGUUCUUCCUGGUGGAAAGGAUUCCUUCCUGCUUGGUGUAUAAAUUGAGUAUGUGAUCCCUCAAUUUGUAGCGAGAAGAUAACAUCUCUAACAUCAUUGACUUCUGCAUAUCUAACAGAAGCUCUAAGAAGAAUGGAAGAGAUAACAGAACACAUCUGGAAGAACAAUCUGUUACCUCUGGACAAGCCCAGCUACAGGAUCCUUGGGACCGAACACAAAUGAAAAUGCAGAAUCCCUUGUUCAAAAAUUACUGAAAGUUUCAAGAUGGCAGCAGCAGAACAUUAAACCAAGUGGGGGAUUCUUAUAGGUGCAGGGCACUGUUUGACUAUACAUGUCUCCCACCCAUGAAGCUGGCCCUGCCUCCGGCUGCGCUCCUCACCUUCCUUCCUAUUCUACUACUGAUGUCUGCCAUUCUGUCUUUUACACUUAAACCCUUUCCCUGCUCCAACUACCAUUCUGCGCACUGCUUUGUGAUACUGGAGCUGAACCUGGUAAAGAUUUUUUCUCCAGCUGGCUUGAUGCUAAGCUUUAUCAACAGAGGGUGCUAGAGGGACAUUGUUGAGGGGAUGAUGGCAGGAGGGUGCUUCCCUUCCAGGUUCCAGUCCUCAUUCCUUGUUAUUCUUUGUGAAAGUCAGUAGAUUAGUGUGCAGAUGGCCUAGUGGAGCUGACCAUCAAGGCCAACUCCUCCCUCUCACCUAGGGCCUGUUUUACUGGCAGCACUGGGCAUACCCUUAGGGAGCUGUCUUCCUGCCUGGCUGGACCACUUUUAUAGUUCAGAUCAGAUCUGUUGCCUCUGAUGUUUCUUCCCCUCUGACGGGAAGUGGUAGCCCUACCCUCUUAAAAAUCCUUGGUUCUUCAUUGCCUGUACCCCUUCAGCCUAAUAAUUCUUUUUCUGUAAGUGCUAUUUCUGAAUCCCUUAGAGCAGGGGUUGGUAAACUAUAACUAGUGGACAAAAUAAGGGGAUAUCGUUCUAUACUUAUCAAACUAGCUAAAUAUUCAGACUUAUGACAACACUUAAUUAUGGGAAGGUUGUGGGGAAGCAAAUAUCCUAAUAAAAUGUUAGAAGGAGUAUACUAUCUUUUGGGAGGUCAAUAUAAAAUAUGUAACAUGUAAUUAUAUAUACGAUAUUCAAUAAAACAUUCAAAAUGUGCAUAUUCUUCUUAGCUCAGCAAUUAAAAAAAUAAUUAAAAGGAUAUGUAAAGACUGAUGUAGAUUGGGGGCAAGAUGGCUAACUAGAUGCAACUAGAAGGAACAUCUGUCUCUGAGGGACUGUAACAUUAAGACUGGCACACUCCUGACAGAUCUUCAGAGGAAAGACAUUGACAGUGGACGGAGGGAACACACAGAUGCUAGGCUGAAUAAAGAAGAAUCUGGGAGCCCUGCAUGGGGCUACUGGGACUAAUUCCUGGCAUUCAGUGACUACCGGGAAAGGAGUGAGUUGAGCAACCUAUUUGCCUGCUCAGGACAAUUGAGUUGUCAGGGAGAGCUUUAUAGAGAAGUGGUAGAGUCAGAACUUCAGCUGGCGUGAAGACCAGAGGGUUUGCUGCAGGAGCAUCUGUAGUGG